ensembl:rRNA 5S_rRNA 5S ribosomal RNA
GUCCACGGCCAUACCCCCCUGAACACGCCCAAUCUUAGUUGAUCUCAGAAGUUAAGCAGGGUCAGGCCUGGUUAGUACUUGGAUGGGAGAAGUACUAUGACUAUAUAGU